CCUACGGGAGGCAGCAGUGGGGAAUAUUGGACAAUGGGGGAAACCCUUAUCCAGCGACGCCGCGUGAGGGAAGAAGGUUUUCGGAUUGUAAACCUCUGUCAGUGGGGACGAUAAUGACGGUACCCACGGAGGAAGCCACGGCUAACUACGUGCCAGCAGCCGCGGUAAUACGUAGGUGGCAAGCGUUGUCCGGAAUUACUGGGUGUAAAGGGAGCGUAGGCGGGAUGUCAAGUCAGAAGUGAAAAUUAUGGGCUCAACUCAUAACCUGCUUUUGAAACUGAUAUUCUUGAGUGAAGUAGAGGCAAGCGGAAUUCCUAGUGUAGCGGUGAAAUGCGUAGAUAUUAGGAGGAACACCAGUGGCGAAGGCGGCUUGCUGGGCUUUUACUGACGCUGAGGCUCGAAAGCGUGGGGAGCAAACAGGAUUAGAUACCCUUGUAGUC
rnacentral:rRNA from 1 species